GGGCUUGUGGUUUAGUGGUAUAAUACUCGCUUAGCAUAUCGUCUUCAACGGGUUCGUCCUCCAUAAGACAGCCAUGUGAGUGGUCCGGGGUUCGAUUCCCCGCGAGUCCA